rnacentral:rRNA from 1 species
CUAUUAUUUUAUAAUGUAAAAGUUUAUUUAUAUUUACCUAAGUAUUAUGAAGAUUAUAUAUUUUAUAAAUUUGUUUAAAACUUAAAAGGUUUGGCGGUUUUACAUAUCCAGUUAGGGGAGUCUGUUAAUAUAAUUUGAUAAUCCACAUUUUAAACUAAUUUCUUCUUGAUAUUAUAAUUACUAGUUAUGUAAUUAUAACAGUUUAUAUAUUGCUGUCGUCAGUUUAUAUUUUAAGAGUGAAAGAACUAGAUAAUUUUUUUAUUUUUAUGUCAAGUCAAAAUGUAGCUUAUGAAGAAAGUUUAAUGGACUACUUUAAUUAAUUUUUUUUUUAUAAUCCGGAUGAUGAAAAUUAUAUUUUGUUAGUAAGGUGGACUUAAUAGUAAGUUAGUGAUUAGUAUGCAUAAUUGAAUAUUGGUUUUGUAAGAUGU